AGAGGGCACUGGCAGCUGAGCGAAGGUUUGCAAAGCAAAUUCUGGAAACUAAUGGAGCUCAUGUUGUGCUUAUGCGUUGCUUUAUGUGCGGCACCGACAUUACUGGAAAAGUUCCGUUUGAAUACAGCGCAAACAAAUUUUGCACAAUGAAUUGUGUCAAGGAGCAUCGAAAGAAGCCUCAGACCAACCGUGCCUGAAGUGCCUCAGUCAUUGACGUCUGCCUCCGCCCUGCUAUGUCUUCAUUGACAGCUGAUCGAUGGCUUCACUCUGUGCUUUCAGGAAGGUCAAAUAAGCAGCUUCUGGAUGCUACUGCUUAUGCAAGUGCCACUGACUGCUUGUGAAAAUCGUGCGCUAGGAAUAAAUUGCAUUUUUUUAAACUUA
rnacentral:lncRNA from 1 species